GGAGGUAUAGCUCAAGUGGUAGAGUGCAUGCUUAGCAUGCAUUAGGUUCUGGGUUCAAUCUCUAGUACCUCUU
rfam:Camelus ferus unplaced genomic scaffold scaffold1721, whole genome shotgun sequence.